rnacentral:tRNA from 1 species
GUGUGAAAAUGCGAUCAAACGGUCUUGAAAACCGUUGAGGGUUUGCGCUCUCCGGGGGUUCGAAUCCCUCC